GCCCAUUUGUGAUUUGUUGGGCUUUUUGCAUUGUUGGCCCAAUUUGCAAGGAGGAGGGUGUAGCUUAGGUAACCAAGGUAUCAUGGUUAAUGUCAACAUUCCCAUCAUUUCGAAAAUGGAGGCAGAAGCAAUAGUCCAAAAUCGACCAAUAUAUGCAUCGGAAAUAAAAGCACCAAUUAAUGGUAUGAAAUUAGUAACACCAGACCAUAUAUUAAGAACAUUGGAGGCAGAAACUUGGUCCAAAUGAAAUACUUGUAAUAAAAAUUGCAUGAAAUUUGCUAUUAACCCUAUUGAUGCCAAUCUCUCAAAUGUCUCAUUUCCUAGAACAUAAGGCAUAGCUCUCCAUCCCCCGGGUUUUCUCCGGCGUGUUUUGGCCGGAGAAUCACUACCGGAGGUCUGUUUUUCCUCAUCGGAGACACCAUUUUCCGGCAAGGGGAAGGACAUUGAAGAAUUGUUAUUUUUUUUGUCCUCCAUAAUGAUAAUAAUAUAUAGUAGUAUAUCUCCUAGAACAUAAGGCAUAGC
rnacentral:misc_RNA from 1 species